rnacentral:lncRNA from 1 species
GCAUUUUAACGAGGCCUCGGUGAGGAAAUCCUUUCCCUGCAAGGCCGGGCUGGGCUCAUGGUCCUGUUAUAAGAGCAUGUGGAGGUCAGGCCCUUUGCUCAGCAGGCUCAGGGGCUCUGUUUUAGCCAACUGGAAAUGGCCGGCCUGGGGUGCUAGCCCCCAAGUGUGAGCCUCAUGCUAGUCUCAGGAAAUGCAACCUUUUCCGGCCAGAUCCAGUGGAGCCCGGGAGGUCGCUGCCUUGCCCCUGGCCCGUGGGCUACAGGUCUCCAGGAUACUCUAGGCCUGCCCGCCCCUCCGGCCCCAGUCGGAGCUGGCAUUACUGAACGCCGGCAUCCCAGGAAAUAGACCGCUCAGGCCGCUGCCUUCAGCUGGGAAAGACUCUUGCAUCCGGGUCAUACGCGGCACUUUGCCUCCUUCCUCCCAGUGUGAAUCCAGCCCAAGGUGGAAGAGGAGCCUGAGAGGACCCUGAAAGCGCAGAGAGAGCUGGCUAGGUAGAGCUCCAGCUCUGGCUUCUGAGAUUCAAGCAGCUGCGGUCGCUGCGGGCAGUGGCUGCUCCGAGCUCCGGGCCCAGAAGGCCGCUCCACCGCUAGCGCGGCGCUCCAGCCACUUCAACCUCGGCGCCCCACGGUGACCCGGCCGUAAGGACUGAGCAUCAGGGUGCGGAGGAGGAGGAUGGAGAGAAAAAGAGAGAGAUAGAAGGAGAGACGGACAGAGGGAGAGAAAAGAGAGAGAAACAGGAGGGGAGAGAGAAUAAGAAAGCCAGUUCUCUCCAGCCUGACAGGGUCUUGAAGCUGCAGCAGCGGCUUUAGAGGGAUCAAGACAGGGUCUGUGCCAAGAGAUCAUUAACUCUCCUUCGCUCUUCGCAUGCUCCUGCGCCCAAGGCCAAGGCAAAUUCUCUACCCUCUAGGCCCAUGAGACGGACGAACCUGAGUGCAGAAAAGCUUCAGAGCACCGCAGCCAGUGGCCCUAUCUUUAGCUUCCCGGAUCUGCCUGGUCCUUACCCUGCUCACCAGAAGGGUGGAACUGGCUGGGACUGUUGCCCUUAGCAAUGCCACCUGGAAAUGCCACAGAGCUGGGGGCUGCCUAGGAAGGAAGCUUUGCUCUUCAGCACUGCCCAUGCCUCUCAGAAAAGCUGUGUCAUUUGGCAAGUGGGUCCCAAGACCUUCGAGGUUUCCUCAAGGAUAAUGAGCCGUGGCAGGUCAGUGGGCCAGGACCUGGGCCUAGAGUCAUGCCUCUCCAGGCUAAAUGCAGAAAGCAACUUCCCAGGCCGACAUCUGGGAAGGUCCAGUAUAUAUUUGAGAUAGUGGAGGCUAUACAAAUAAAGUAAAAGACAAUGAUCUUAACCUAUCUUUCCUAACCUUUUAGGGAGUCAGGACCCUUCUGGAAAAUCCAAGUAAGUUUUGACUCAUUCUGUGAAAAAUGCAUAUCUGUAUAUUCCCACAAUUUGAUCCAUCAUUUCGAAGGAGUUCACACACCCCUCAGUCUUUUCCUUGGGUCUUCCAGAGUCCCCCAGUGUCCUGGGACUUGGGGGCCCUGCCAAUUUGGCUGGCAAGACAAGCUGGGUGCCCUGCAGCAGACAGCUCAGGUCAGGGCCCCGUAGGGCAGCCAAAUGGGCUUCUAGGCUGGAUAGAAUCCAGGGACCUGCACGUGCCAACCAAGGUUACAAAAGUCAGUUUGUAUCGCAUCUGCUACAAAAGGCUGCCCCAGCCGAAGAGUAGAGGAGCUGGGAGGCCUGCUAUGGGCCUCGCAAGCCGUGGCGUUGGCACUUGGGUCUUCAGUGACCUUUCUGUGGUGAGCCAGAUGUGUUUCUUUAGUAUGACUUUUUCCCCCUUGUAAUAAACCAAACGGGAUGUUGGGCUUGAGCUCCUUCUGGCUUUUAAAAAGAGUGUGUAAGCUCAUGUAUGGCAGCCCCUCUCUGGCCCAGGACUGCCUUCCAACUCCCACCAGGGCUUGCUGAGUGGGAAACGCAGCGAGACACUGCCGGUGAGCUGGCCGGCUGCAGGCGGGCCGGCUGCUGCUGGUUCAAAUGAGAGGAUACUAACGCAGCAGAAGCUCAAGUUAAACGCCUCCUUGGCCCUCUCAGUUGGUCUCCUAGCCCCCAGCAUCCCUGACCGACCCCCAAGGCUCCCAUGCUCUCUAGACUUUAACACUGGAGUGUUAGGUUUCUCAAUAAAAUAUUCCAUUUAUUGA